AUUUGAAUUUGCCACUACUAGUGAUACUCAGAUAGAAUCAGAUUCAGAAAACGGAGCCACUACCAUGCUUAUGCAAGAGAAAACAUAAUAACCAACUGAAUAGUCAGCAAGUACCUACUCUUGUAACGCAAAAAAAAGAAACAGAAAACAUUUUUUAUGCAUACUCCACAUACUGUAGCUCAAGGUUAACAAACUUUCUAAAAUUGGAGGUAAAACCAUUAAGACAAAUACAAAAAAAUGUGAUG